rnacentral:rRNA from 1 species
AAUUAUACCGCGAAACUGCGAAUGGCUCAUUAUAUAAGUUAUCGUUUAUUUGAUAGUACCUUACUACUUGGAUAACCGUGGUAAUUCUAGAGCUAAUACAUGCUAAAAACCCCGACUUCGGAAGGGGUGUAUUUAUUAGAUUAAAAACCAAUGCCCUCUGGGCUCUCUGGUGAAUCAUGAUAACUUCUCGAAUCGCAUGGCCUUGCGCCGGCGAUGGUUCAUUCAAAUUUCUUCCCUAUCAACUUUCGAUGUUUGGGUAUUGGCCAAACAUGGUUGCAACGGGUAACGGAGGGUUAGGGCUCGACCCCGGAGAAGGAGCCUGAGAAACGGCUACUACAUCCAAGGAAGGCAGCAGGCGCGCAAAUUACCCAAUCCCGACACGGGGAGGUAGUGACAAUAAAUACUGAUACAGGGCUCUUUUGGGUCUUGUAAUCGGAAUGAGUACAAUUUAAAUCCCUUAACGAGGAACAAUUGGAGGGCAAGUCUGGUGCCAGCAGCCGCGGUAAUUCCAGCUCCAAUAGCGUAUAUUAAAGUUGUUGUGGUUAAAAAGCUCGUAGUUGAACCUUGGGCCUGGCUGGCCGGUCCGCCUCACCGCGUGUACUGGUCCGGCCGGGCCUUUCCCUCUGUGGAACCCCAUGCCCUUCACUGGGUGUGGCGGGGAAACAGGACUUUUACUUUGAAAAAAUUAGAGUGCUCCAGGCAGGCCUAUGCUCGAAUACAUUAGCAUGGAAUAAUAGAAUAGGACGUGUGGUUCUAUUUUGUUGGUUUCUAGGACCGCCGUAAUGAUUAAUAGGGACAGUCGGGGGCAUCAGUAUUCAAUUGUCAGAGGUGAAAUUCUUGGAUUUAUUGAAGACUAACUACUGCGAAAGCAUUUGCCAAGGAUGUUUUCAUUAAUCAGGAACGAAAGUUAGGGGAUCGAAGACGAUCAGAUACCGUCGUAGUCUUAACCAUAAACUAUGCCGACUAGGGAUCGGACGGUGUUAUUUUUUGACCCGUUCGGCACCUUACGAGAAAUCAAAGUGCUG